CUCAAAACACCCCAUAAUAUCUUCAAUGAGCUGAAUUUUUGAAGCCCAGAAUGGUUUCUGUAGCUCAAAGUUUGUGGGUGGAGAUAGGUGGUGAAGCAGACACAUAUUAACUGUGUGUACAAGCAGCUGAACUGCAAGGUGGACCUCAAAAAGCAACAAGUACAAGAAUGUGUGUGCGUGUGUGUGUGUGUGUGUGUGUCUCGUUAAUGACUGCAUCCUAAACAGCUGUGAGAUCAAAGGCAAAUCACUAACCUACUGUUUGACUGAGAGGUGCUGAACUGCAGUCAAUUUCAGCCUGUGAACUUCUUCACAUAGCGUGAUUUCCUUAAGUCCCAGAAUGAAAAUAAGAACAUCGUACGAAUCCUCAGUCCUUCAUGAACACAAUGAUGUGUUUUUCAUGUCUGUACUUCGAAAAAUGAGGCCACAACAGCGAGUUAAAAAAGUCUGAGCCUGAGCGAUGAUCCGGAUUUUCUUGGAGAUAAAUAACAUUACGGUCAAUGGGAGAGAUUUCCGCCUUUUUUGGACAGUUGGUCACCUGCUGGCCAAGGGGUGCGAUUUAAUGAUUUGAAACCUCUUUUGUGAGAAGCAGGACACAUAUACCUCCAUUUUGAUGUAUUAUUUGUGUCAGUGGAGUGAGAUUUGUGGGCGUGGGAGCGAUAUAUUCGAGCGAGGUUCUGUCGAUCAGAGACGAGGUCUGCACUCUAGCUGAUGACAUCAUCACUCUAAACUCUCCAAUACACACCCAUUAUAAAGCUUGAAAUUUGCUGAAAACCACAAGUUGCUUAAAGCUAAAUUGUGGAAGAACUGUAGAAGAUAUCAAAAAACCAAGUACAACUGUAAUAGUCGACAAGUGAGUGAACAUUUUAAAGCAAAAAUGAGGUCUCUAGGUGAAAGUAUGCUGAAGUUAUAAGGUCUAGAAGGUGGAAGAAUGAAAGGAAGAAGUUGAAGAUUUCCCCAUUGACUUCAAUGUUAAAAUUUUUGCACAAAAAGUUAAAAAAAUCAAAAAGUAUAAAAGGUAGAAGAGUGAAAAGUAAUAGCCAUCAUGUCCUGAAGGAGUGGAAUAGUUUAAAGUUUGAACGGUUGAAAUCGGACAAAGUUUGAAGGAGGAGAAGCGUUGCAAAAAAGGGACGGAAGAAUAAUAAUAAUAAUAAUAAUAAUAAUAAGUUUAAUAAAGAAACAGGAGAAUAACAAUAAGUGGAAAUGCCUAUCAGCAUUUCCACUUAACUAGAAAAAUUGCAUUUCCUUGCAGAAAAUGCGUGGAAAUGCUGAGUGCUGAAAGCUGAAAAAGCAAUGCUAAACUGCUAAUAAAACAUGGAGAAAGGUAUAAAUGUUAAAGCUGUUGAAGGGGUGAAAAAGAAGUAUAGUAAGUAAGGACAAAUAGUAUGAAUAUGCUCUAUAAAAGGAAAUUUGAUUCAUGCUUAAAGAGGCUAGAAAAAUGUCUAAAAUUGCACAAAGUUCGAUUGAAGAAGGAAAUUGCCUUAAAAGGCAGGAAGGUGAGAAGUGGCAUAAGUUUAAGUUGUAGUACUAGAAGUAGUAUGAUAAGAAGUCAAGUCGUGAUACUAGUAGUCAUGUCAGCAGUAGAAGUAGUUUGAGAAUAAAAGAACUAUAGUCAAUAGCAGUAGUAGAGAAAGUAGAAAUAGGAGCAAUAGCAGUUGAAGUAGAGGGGAAAGUUCUAGUUUAAUUGACAUUAGCAGUAGUUGUCGUACUUGAGGUAGGAUUUUGUUUGAAGGAUGGAGUAAUGCAUAAAUAUUAAAACUAAUUUAAAACAGGAAAAUUUAAAUAUUAAAAAUCCUCAAGUAUCAGAAGUUUUAAGUAUUAGAAAGGUUUGAAUCAGUUUGAAUGAGUUUAAAUUAGUUUGAAAAAUUAAAUGAUAAAUCAUCACUGAGUGACUUAUAAAAGUGAAAAAUGUAAAUGAAUAUAAAUCCUGAAUACACCCCAUAAUGUCCUCAAUGAGCUUAAAUUUUAAAGCCCUAAAUGGUUUCUGUAGGUCAAAGGUCAUGUGAGGAGAUACGGGCUUAGGUUUUUUCAAGCGCUCUAGGAAAGGGUUUUAAGUGUCAUCCCCAGUGCUAUGUGUACUGAGCCUGGCUUCAUGUGUCUCAUAUGGCCAUUAGAAGCAGCUUUCCAGUCAGCUGUGUGUCUCCAGGUGCACAAAUUGGUUGCCAUGGGGACCUUGGAUGCAUAACUAUAGCAGGAGAAAGAAGGCUUGAAGCUAAGGAAACAGGACUCCAAGUAGGCCCUGACGCUCAUCGUCUGUAUAUAUUCAUGAUAAGGAGCUUGUGAGAACACAAGAUUUUGCUGAACACAUUAAUACAAUUUAUUAUCACAAUCCUCAAAACACCCCAUAAUAUCUUCAAUGAGCUGAAUUUUUCAAGCCCAAAAUGGUUUCUGUAGCUCAAAGUUUGUGGGUGGAGAUAGGUGGUGAAGCAGACACAUAAUACCUGUGUACAAGCAGCUGAACUGCAAGGUAGACCUGACAAUGCAACAAGUACAAGAAUGUGUGUGUGUGUGUGUGUGUGUGUGUGUGUGUGUGUGUGUCUCGUUAAUGAUUGCAUCCUAAACAGCUGUGAGAUCAAAGGCAAAUUACUGACCUACUGUUUGACUGAGAGGUGCUGAACUGCUGAGGAUUUAUAGCCUCUGAACUUCUUCACAUAGCGUGAUUUCCUUAAGUCCCCGAAUGAAAAUAAGAACAUCGUACGAAUCCUCGGGCCUUCAUGAACACAAUGAUGUCUUUUUCAUGUCUGUACUCCGAAAAAUGUGGCCACAACAGCGAGUUAAAAAAGUCUGAGCCUGAGUGGGGAUAAGGAUUUUCUUGGAGAAGAAAUACAUUAGGUCUAAUGGGGAGAGAUUUCCGCCUAUUUGGACAGUUGGUCACCUGCUGGCCAAGGGGUACGAUUUAAUGAUUUGAAACCUCUUUUGUGAGAAGCAGGACACAUAUACCUCCAUUUUGAUGUAUUUUUUAUGGCUGUGGAGUGAGAUUUGUGGGCGUGGGAGCGAUAUAUUUGAACGAGGUUCUGUCGAUCAGAGACGAGGUCUGCACUCUAGCUUUUCAAAUCAUCACUCUAGCCUCUCCAAUACACCCCAUUAUAAAGCCUGAAAUUUGCUGAAAACCACAAGUUGCUUAAAGCUAAAUUGUGGAAAAACUGUAAAAGAUAGCACAAAAAGUUAAUACAACAUCAAUAGUCGACAAGACAAUGAACAUUUUAAAGCAAAAAUGAGGUCUCUAGGUGAAAGUAUGCUGAAGUUAUAAGGCUUAGAAGGUGGAAGAAUAAAAGGAAGAAUUGGAAGAUUUCCCCAUUCAUUUUAUGGGAAAAAAAGUUUGAAACAAAAAGUGAAAAAUAAUAAAAAGUAUAAAGGGUAGAAAAGAGAAAAGUAAUAGCCAUCAUGUCCUGAAGGAGUGGAAUAGUUUAAAGUUUGAACGGUUGAAAUCGGACAAAGUUUGAAGGAGGAGAAGCGGUCCAAAGAAACGUAUGGGGAGAGUGUUAAGUAUAAUACUAGAAAAAUUGCAUUUCCUUGCAGAAAAUGCGUGGAAAUGCUGAGUGCUGAAAGCUGAAAAAGCAAUGCUAAACUGCUAAUAAAACAUGGAGAAAGGUAUAAAUGUUAAAGCUGUUGAAGGGGUGAAAGAAAUAUAAGUUGGAUAAUUGAUUAAUUGGUUGAAGGACAAAUAGUAUGAAUAUGCUCUAUAAAAGGAAAUUUUAUUCAUGCUGAAAGAGGCUAGAAAAAUGUCUAAAAUUGCACAAAGUUUGAAUGAAGAAGGAAAUUGCCUUAAAAGGCAGGAAGGUGAGAAGUGGCAUAAGUUUAAUUUUUUAAGUAUUAGAAAGGUUUGAAUCAGUUUGAAUCAGUUCAAAUUAGUUUGAAAAAUUAAAUGAUAAAUCAUCACUGAGUGACUUUAAAAUGUGAAAAAUCUAAAUGUAUAUAAAUCCUAAAUACACCCCAUAAUGUCCUCAAUGAGCUCAAAUUUUAAAGCCCUGAAUGGUUUCUGUAGGUCAAAGGUCAUGUGAGGAGAUAGGGGCUGAAGUUUUUUCAAGCGCUCUAGUAAAGGGUUUUAAGUGUCAUCCCCAGUGCUAUGUGUGCUGAGCCUGGCUUCAUGUGUCUCAUAUGGCCAUUAGAAGCAGCUUUCCAGUCAGCUGUGUGUCUCCAGGUGCACUAAUUGGUUGCCAUGGGGACCUUGGAUGCAUAACUAUAGCAGGAGAAAGAAGGCUUGAAGCUAAGGAAACAGGACUCCAAGUAGGCCCUGACGCUCAUCCUCUGUAUCUAUUCCUGAUAAGGAGCUUGUGAGAACACAAGACUCUGCUAAACACAUUAAUACAAUUUAUUAUCACAAUCCUCAAAACACCCCAUAAUAUCUUCAAUGAGCUGAAUUUUUGAAGCCCAGAAUGGUUUCUGUAGCUCAAAGUUUGUGGGUGGAGAUAGGUGGCGAAGCAGACACAUAUUAACUGUGUGUACAAGCAGCUGAACUGCAAGGUAGACCUCAUAAAGCAACAAGUACAAGAAUGUGUGUGUGUGUGUGUGUGUGUCUCGUUAAUGACUGCAUCCUAAACAGCUGUGAGAUCAAAGGCAAAUCACUGACCUACUGUUUGAAUGAGAAGCAGCUGAACUGCAGAGGAUUUAGAGGCUCUAAACUUCUUCACAUAGCGUGAUUUCCUUAAGUCACAGAAUGAAAAUAAGAACAUCGUACGAAUCCUCCGCCCUUCAUGAACACAAUGAAGUAUUUUUCAUGUCUGUACUCCGACAGAUGUGGCCACAACAGCGAGUUAAAAAAGUCUGAGCCUGAGCGAUGAUCCGGAUUUUCUUGGAGAAAAUUAACAUUACGGUCAAUGGGAGAGAUUUCCGCCUUCUUUGGACAGUUGGUCACCUGCUGGCCAAGGGGUACGAUUUAAUGAUUUGAAACCUCUUUUGUGAGAAGCAGGACACAUAUACCUCCAUUUUGAUGUAUUAUUUGUGUCAGUGGAGUGAGAUUUGUGGGCGUGGGAGCGAUAUAUUCGAGCGAGGUUCUGUCGAUCAGAGACGAGGUCUGCACUCUAGCUGAUGACAUCAUCACUCUAAACUCUCCAAUACACACCCAUUAUAAAGCUUGAAAUUUGCUGAAAACCACAAGUUGCUUAAAGCUAAAUUGUGGAAAAACUGUAAGAGAUAUCAAAAAACUGAGUACAACUUUAAUAGUCGACAAGUGAAUGAACAUUUUAAAGCAAAAAUGAGGUCUCUAGGUGAAAGUAUGCUGAAGUUAUAAGGUCUAGAAGGUGGAAGAAUAAAAGGAAGAAUUGGAAGAUUUCCCCAUUGACUUUAAUGUUAAAAUUUUUGCACAAAAAGUUAAAAAAAACAAAAAGUAUAAAUGUUAGAAAAGUGAAAAGUAAUAGCAAACGUGUCCUGAAGGAGUGGAAUAGUUUAAAGUUUGAACGGUUGAAAUCGGACAAACUGGGAAGGAGUUGAAAGCGGACGAAAAACGGCGGAAGAAUAAUAAUAAUAAUAAUAAUAAAGAAACGGGAGAAUAACAAUAAGUGGAAAUGCCUAUCAGCAUUUCCACUUAACUAGAAAAAUUGCAUUUCCUUGCAGAAAAUGCGUGGAAAUGCUGAGUGCUGAAAGCUGAAAAAGCAAUGCUAAACUGCUAAUAAAACAUGGAGAAAUGUAUAAAUGUUAAAGCUGUUGAAGGGGUGUGAAAGAAAUGUAAGUUGGAUAAUUGAUUAAUUGGUUGAAGGACAAAUAGUAUGAAUAUGCUCUAUAAAAAGAAAUUUUAUUCAUGCUGAAAGAGGCUAGAAAAAUGUCUAAAAUUGCACAAAGUUUGAAUGAAGAAGGAAAUUGCCUUAAAAGGCAGGAAGGUGAGAAGUGGCAUAAGUUUAAUUUUUUAAGUAUUAGAAAGGUUUGAAUCAGUUUAAAUGAGUUCAAAUUAGUUUGAAUAAUUAAAUGAUAAAUCAUCACUGACUGACUUUUAAAAUGUGAAAAAUUUAAAUGAAUAACAAUCCUAAAUACACCCAAUAAUGUCCUCAAUGAGCUCAAAUUUUAAAGCCCUGAAUGGUUUCUGUAGGUCAAAGGUCAUGUGAGGAGAUAGGGGCUGAAGGUUUUUCAAGCGCUCUAGGAAAGGGUUUUAAGUGUCAUCCCCAGUGCUAUGUGUGCUGAGUCUGGCUUCAUGUGUCUCAUAUGGCCAUUAGAAGCAGCUUUCCAGUCAGCUGUGUGUCUCCAGGUGCACUAAUUGGUUGCCAUGGGGACCUUGGAUGCAUAACUAUAGCAGGAGAAAGAAGGCUUGAAGCUAAGGAAACAGGACUCCAAGUAGGCCCUGACGCUCAUCCUCUGUAUCUAUUCCUGAUAAGGAGCUUGUGAGAACACAAGACUCUGCUAAACACAUUAAUACAAUUUAUUAUCACAAUCCUCAAAACACCCCAUAAUAUCUUCAAUGAGCUGAAUUUUAGAAGCCCAGAAUGGUUUCUGUAGCUCAAAGUUUGUGGGUGGAGAUAGGUGGUGAAGCAGACACAUAUUAACUGUGUGUACAAGCAGGUGAACUGCAAGGUGGACCUCAAAAAGCAACAAGUACAAGAAUGUGUGUGCGUGUGUGUGUGUGUGUCGUUAAUGACUGCAUCCUAAACAGCUGUGAGAUCAAAGGCAAAUCACUAACCAACUGUUUGACUGAGAGGUGCUGAACUGCAGUGAAUUUCAGCCUGUGAACUUCUUCACAUAGCGUGAUUUCCUUAAGUCCCAGAAUGAAAAUAAGAACAUUGUACGAAUCCUCCGUCCUUCAUGAACACAAUGAUGUGUUUUUCAUGUCUGUACUUCGAAAAAUGAGGCCACAACAGCGAGUUAAAAAAGUCUGAGCUUGAGCGAUGAUCCGGAUUUUCUUGGAGAAAAAUAACAUUACAGUCAAUGGGAGAGAUUUCCGCCUUUUUUGGACAGUUGGUCACCUGCUGGCCAAGGGGUACGAUUUAAUGAUUUGAAACCUCUUUUGUGAGAAGCAGGACACAUAUACCUCCAUUUUGAUGUAUUAUUUGUGUCAGUGGAGUGAGAUUUGUGGGCGUGGGAGCGAUAUAUUCGAGCGAGGUUCUGUCGAUCAGAGACGAGGUCUGCACUCUAGCUGAUGACAUCAUCACUCUAAACUCUCCAAUACACACCCAUUAUAAAGCUUGAAAUUUGCUGAAAACCACAAGUUGCUUAAAGCUAAAUUGUGGAAAAACUGUAAAAGAUAUCAAAAAACUGAGUACAACUAUAAUAGUCGACAAGUGAAUGAACAUUUUAAAGCAAAAAUGAGGUCUCUAGGUGAAAGUAUGCUGAAGUUAUAAGGUCUAGAAGGUGGAAGAAAAAAAGGAAGAAGUGGAAGAUUUCCCCAUUGACUUCAAUGUUAAAAUUUUUGCACAAAAAGUUAAAAAAAUCAAAAAGUAUAAAGGGUAGAAAAGUGAAAAGUAAUAGCACACAUGUCCUGAAGGAGUGGAAUAGUUUAAAGUUUGAAUGGUUGAAAUCGGACAAAGUUUGAAGGAGGAGAAGCGUGACAAAAAACGGCGGAAGAAUAAUAAUAAUAAGAUUAAAGAAACAGGAGAAUAACAAUAAGUGGAAAUGCUUAAUCAGCAUUUCCACUUAACUAGAAAAAUUGCAUUUCCUUGCAGAAAAUGCGUGGAAAUGCUGAGUGCUGAAGCUGAAAAAGCAAUGCUAAACUGCUAAUAAAACAUGGAGAAAGGUAUAAAUGUUAAAGCUGUUGAAGGGGUGAAAAAGAAAUAUAAGUUGGAUAAUUGAUUAAUUGGUUGAAGGACAAAUAGUAUGAAUAUGCUCUUUAAAAGUAAAUUCUAUUCAUGCUGAAAGAGGCUAGAAAAAUGUCUAAAAUUGCACAAAGUUUGAAUGAAGAAGGAAAUUGCCUUAAAAGGCAGGAAGGUGAGAAGUGGCAUAAGUUUAAAUUGUAGUACUAGAAGUAGUAUGAUAAGAAGUCAAGUUGUGAUACUAGUAGUCAUGUCAGCAGUAGAAGUAGAUUGAGAAUAAAAGAAGUAUAAGUCAAAGUAGUAAAGAAAGUAGAAAUAGGAGCAAUAGCAGUUGAAGUAGAGGGGAAAGUUCUAGUUUAAUUGACAUUAGCAGUAGUUGUCGUACUUGAGGUAGGAUUUUGUUUGAAUGAUGGAGUAAUGCAUAAAUAUUAAAACUAAUUUAAAACAGGAAAAUUUUAAAUUAUCAAAAGUCCUCAAGUAUCAGAAAGUUUUGAAGUAUUAGAAAGGUUUGAAUCAGUUUGAAUGAGUUUAAAUUAGUUUGAAAAAUUAAAUGAUAAAUCAUCACUGAGUGACUUUAAAAUGUGAAAAAUUUAAAUGAAUAUAAAUCCUAAAUACACCCCAUAAUGUCCUCAAUGAGCUUAAAUUUUAAAGCCCUGAAUGGUUUCUGUAGGUCAAAGGUCAUGUGAGGAGAUAGGGGCUGAAGUUUUUUCAACGCUCUAGGAAAGGGUUUUAAGUGUCAUCCCAAGUGCUAUGUGUACUGAGCCUGGCUUCAUGUGUCUCAUAUGGCCAUUAGAAGCAGCUUUCCAGUCAGCUGUGUGUCUCCAGGUGCACAAAUUGGUUGCCAUGGGGACCUUGGAUGCAUAACUAUAGCAGGAGAAAGAAGGCUUGAAGCUAAGGAAACAGGACUCCAAGUAGGCCCUGACGCUCACCCUCUGUAUAUAUUCAUAAGGAGCUUGUGAGAACACAAGACUCUGCUGAACACAUUAAUACAAUUUAUUAUCACAAUCCUCAAAACACCCCAUAAUAUCUUCAAUGAGCUGAAUUUUUGAAGCCCAGAAUGGUUUCUGUAGCUCAAAGUUUGUGGGUGGAGAUAGGUGGUGAAGCAGACACAUAUUAACUGUGUGUACAAGCAGCUGAACUGCAAGGUGGACCUCAAAAAGCAACAAGUACAAGAAGGUGUGUGUGCGUGUGCGUGUGUGUGUGUGUGUGUGUGUGUGUGUCUCGUUAAUGACUGCAUCCUAAACAGCUGUGAGAUCAAAGGCAAAUCACUAACCUACUGUUUGACUGAGAGGUGCUGAACUGCAGUGAAUUUCAGCCUGUGAACUUCUUCACAUAGCGUGAUUUCCUUAAGUCCCAGAAUGAAAAUAAGAACAUCGUACGAAUCCUCCGUCCUUCAUGAACACAAUGAUGUGUUUUUCAUGUCUGUACUUCGAAAAAUGAGGCCACAACAGCGAGUUAAAAAAGUCUGAGCUUGAGCGAUGAUCCGGAUUUUCUUGGAGAAAAAUAACAUUACAGUCAAUGGGAGAGAUUUCCGCCUUUUUUGGACAGUUGGUCACCUGCUGGCCAAGGGGUACGAUUUAAUGAUUUGAAACCUCUUUUGUGAGAAGCAGGACACAUAUACCUCCAUUUUGAUGUAUUUUUUAUGUCUGUGGAGUGAGAUUUGUGGGCGUGGGAGCGAUAUAUUCGAGCGAGGUUCUGUCGAUCAGAGACGAGGUCUGCACUCUAGCUGAUGACAUCAUCACUCUAAACUCUCCAAUACACACCCAUUAUAAAGCCUGAAAUUUGCUGAAAACCACAAGUUGCUUAAAGCUAAAUUGUGGAAAAACUGUAAAAGAUAUCAAAAAACUGAGUACAACAUUAAUAGUCGACAAGUGAAUGAACAUUUUAAAGCAAAAAUGAGGUCUCUAGGUGAAAGUAUGCUGAAGUUAUAAGGUUAGAAGGUGGAAGAAUAACAGGAAGAAUUGGAAGAUUUCCCCAUUCAUUUCAAUGGUUAAAAUUUUUGCACAAAAAGUUAAAAAAAUCAAAAAGUAUAAAGGGUAGAAAAGUGAAAAGUAAUACGCCUCAUGUCCUGAAGGAGUGGAAUAGUUUAAAGUUUGAACGGUUGAAAUCGGCACAAAGUUUGAAGGAGGAGAAGCGGCCAAAAAAAUGGCGGAAGAAAAUAAUAAUAAUAACUAGAAAAAUUGCAUUUCCUUGCAGAAAAUGCGUGGAAAUGCUGAGUGCUGAAAGCUGAAAAAGCAAUGCUAAACUGCUAAUAAAACAUGGAGAAAGGUAUAAAUGUUAAAGCUGUUGAAGGGGUGAAAGAAAUAUAAGUUGGAUAAUUGAUUAAUUGGUUGAAGGACAAAUAGUAUGAAUAUGCUCUAUAAAAGGAAAUUUUAUUCAUGCUGAAAGAGGCUAGAAAAAUGUCGAAAAUUGCACAAAGUUUGAAUGAAGAAGGAAAUUGCCUUAAAAGGCAGGAAGGUGAGAAGUGGCAUAAGUUUAAAUUGUAGUACUAGAAGUAGUAUGAUAAGAAGUCAAGUUGUGAUACUAGUAGUCAUGUCAGCAGUAGAAGUAGAUUGAGAAUAAAAGAAGUAUAAGUCAAAGUAGUAAAGAAAGUAGAAAUAGGAGCAAUAGCAGUUGAAGUAGAGGGGAAAGUUCUAGUUUAAUUGACAUUAGCAGUAGUUGUCGUACUUGAGGUAGGAUUUUGUUUGAAUGAUGGAGUAAUGCAUAAAUAUUAAAACUAAUUUAAAACAGGGAAAUUUUAAAUUAUCAAAAGUCCUCAAGUAUCAGAAAGUUUUGAAGUAUUAGAAAGGUUUGAAUCAGUUUGAAUGAGUUUAAAUUAGUUUGAAAAAUUAAAUGAUAAAUCAUCACUGACUGACUUUUAAAAUGUGAAAAAUUUAAAUGAAUAACAAUCCUAAAUACACCCAAUAAUGUCCUCAAUGAGCUUAAAUUUCAAAGCCCUGAAUGGUUUCUGUAGGUCAAAGGUCAUGUGAGGGGAUUGGGGCUGAAGUUUUUUCCAACGCUCUAGGAAAGGGUUUUAAGUGUCAUCCCAAUUGCUAUGUGUACUGAGCCUGGCUUCAUGUGUCUCAUAUGGCCACUAGAAGCAGCUUUCCAGUCAGCUGUGUGUCUCCAGGUGCACAAAUUGGUUGCCAUGGGGACCUUGGAUGCAUAACUAUAGCAGGAGAAAGAAGGCUUGAAGCUAAAGAAACAGGACUCCAAGUAGGCCCUGACGCUCACCCUCUGUAUAUAUUCAUAAGGAGCUUGUGAGAACACAAGACUCUGCUGAACACAUUAAUACAAUUUAUUAUCACAAUCCUCAAAACACCCCAUAAUAUCUUCAAUGAGCUGAAUUUUUGAAGCCCAGAAUGGUUUCUGUUGCUCAAAGUUUGUGGGUGGAGAUAGGUGGUGAAGCAGACACAUAUUAACUGUGUGUACAAGCAGCUGAACUGCAAGGUGGACCUCAAAAAGCAACAAGUACAAGAAGGUGUGUGUGCGUGUGUGUGUGUGUGUCUCGUUAAUGACUGCAUCCUAAACAGCUGUGAGAUCAAAGGCAAAUCACUAACCUACUGUUUGACUGAGAGGUGCUGAACUGCAGUGAAUUUCAGCCUGUGAACUUCUUCACAUAGCGUGAUUUCCUUAAGUCCCAGAAUGAAAAUAAGAACAUCGUACGAAUCCUCCGUCCUUCAUGAACACAAUGAUGUGUUUUUCAUGUCUGUACUUCGAAAAAUGAGGCCACAACAGCGAGUUAAAAAAGUCUGAGCUUGAGCGAUGAUCCGGAUUUUCUUGGAGAAAAAUAACAUUACAGUCAAUGGGAGAGAUUUCCGCCUUUUUUGGACAGUUGGUCACCUGCUGGCCAAGGGGUACGAUUUAAUGAUUUGAAACCUCUUUUGUGAGAAGCAGGACACAUAUACCUCCAUUUUGAUGUAUUAU